AAGAACGACUCUCGGCAACGGAUAUCUCGGCUCUCGCAUCGAUGAAGAACGUAGCGAAAUGCGAUACUUGGUGUGAAUUGCAGAAUCCCGUGAACCAUCGAGUCUUUGAACGCAAGUUGCGCCCCAAGCCUUCGGGCUGAGGGCACGUCUGCCUGGGUGUCACGC
rnacentral:rRNA from 2 species